CUACGGAGGGGGCUAGCGUUGUUCGGAAUUACUGGGCGUAAAGCGUACGUAGGCGGACUGAUCAGUUGGGGGUGAAAUCCCAGGGCUUAACCCUGGAACUGCCUUCAAUACUGUCAGUCUUGAGAUUGGAAGAGGUGAGUGGAAUUCCUAGUGUAGAGGUGAAAUUCAUAGAUAUUAGGAGGAACACCAGUGGCGAAGGCGGCUCACUGGUCCAAUACUGACGCUGAGGUGCGAAAGCGUGGGGAGCAAACGGGAUUAGAUACCCCAGUAGUCC
rnacentral:rRNA from 1 species